rnacentral:rRNA from 1 species
UACGAAGGGUGCAAGCGUUAAUCGGAAUUACUGGGCGUAAAGCGCGCGUAGGUGGUUCGUUAAGUUAGGAGUGAAAGCCCCGGGCUCAACCUGGGAAUUGCUUCUAAAACUGGCGAGCUAGAGUAUGGUAGAGGGUGGUGGAAUUUCCUGUGUAGCGGUGAAAUGCGUAGAUAUAGGAAGGAACAUCAGUGGCGAAGGCGACCACCUGGACUAAUACUGACACUGAGGUGCGAAAGCGUGGGGAGCAAACAGG